rnacentral:rRNA from 1 species
UACAGAGGUGGCAAGCGUUGUUCGGAAUUACUGGGCGUAAAGGGCGCGUAGGCGGCCUUCUAAGUCAGACGUGAAAUCCCUCGGCUCAACCGGGGAACUGCGUCUGAUACUGGGUGGCUUGAAUCCGGGAGAGGGAUGCGGAAUUCCAGGUGUAGCGGUGAAAUGCGUAGAUAUCUGGAGGAACACCGGUGGCGAAGGCGGCAUCCUGGACCGGCAUUGACGCUGAGGCGCGAAAGCCAGGGGAGCAAACGGG